rnacentral:rRNA from 1 species
AUUGAACGCUGGCGGCAGGCCUAACACAUGCAAGUCGAGCGAGCGGCGGACGGGUGAGUAAUGUAUGGGGACUGCCCGCUAGAGGGGGAUAACUACUGGAAACGGUAGCUAAUAACGCAUACUAUCGGAUAACCCAUAUGGGAUUAGGUAGUAGGUGAGGUAAUGGCUCACCUAGGCGACGAGCCUUCGCUGGUCUGCGAGGAUGAUCGGCCACACGGGGACUGAGCAACGGCCCAGACUCCUACGGGGGCAGAGGUGGGGAACUUCGGACAAGGGCGGCAAUCCGGACGCAGCAAGGCCGCGUGGAGGAGGAAGGCUUUGGGGGGGUAAAGUAUGUUCAGAGGGGAGGCGGUACCUACAGAAGAAGCACCGGCUAACUACGUGCCAGCAGCCGCGGUAAUUC